rnacentral:misc_RNA from 1 species
ACGUGCCGUGAAGAUCUGCCUUUUAACGGGUAUGAUCUUUCACAUGGCUCACCCUUGUUUACCUUCAAAUUUGUUGCUUUGGUGGGCCUGCCGAUAAGGCUGCUGGGGAAUUUAAUUUAAUUUCCGGGCUCGUGCUCACCAAAAGUCUUUAAUGAACUCUGAGUUUGUUUUUAGCUGUCUGAGUAGUUAAAAAAAUAUAAUUUUA